rnacentral:rRNA from 1 species
GACGAACGCUGGCGGCGUGCUUAACACAUGCAAGUCGAACGGAAAGGCCCUGCUUUUGUGGGGUGCUCGAGUGGCGAACGGGUGAGUAACACGUGAGUAACCUGCCCUUGACUUUGGGAUAACUUCAGGAAACUGGGGCUAAUACCGGAUAGGAGCUCCUGCUGCAUGGUGGGGGUUGGAAAGUUUCGGCGGGUGGGGAUGGACUCGCGGCUUAUCAGCUUGUUGGUGGGGUAGUGGCUUACCAAGGCUUUGACGGGUAGCCGGCCUGAGAGGGUGACCGGCCACAUUGGGACUGAGAUACGGCCCAGACUCCUACGGUAGGCAGCAGUGGGGAAUAUUGCACAAUGGGCGGAAGCCUGAUGCAGCAACGCCGCGUGCGGGAUGACGGCCUUCUGGUUGUAAACCGCUUUCGCCUGUGACGAAGCGUGAGUGACGGUAAUGGGUAAAGAAGCACCGGCUAACUACGUG